rnacentral:ncRNA from 1 species
GACGGCCGUGAACUGGGGGCUGUAGUUGAUGAAGGUAUAGCCGCGCGCCUGAUCGAUGCAGUGGAACAGCGGGUUCCAGUCGAACAACGUCAGCAUGUAGCCCGGCAGCGUGUUGGCGAGGAACAUCUUGCCCGAGGCGAUCAUGUUCAGCCGCUG